UCUUAUGAGUUAAUUUUAAGAUUCAAUGGGUCUCAAAACCCAAAUUAUAAGAUUAAGCAAAUUGUGCUAUUCUUUGUUCUUUUAUAAAGUCCUCUGCCUCGUAGCAUAUACUAUAUUAAUGUUAUUUUUGGUCCUUGGCCGACUCAAAUGAUUCUAUAGGAAUUUUUUUGGUAUCAUUUAAACAGUUGUGGCAUAAUCAUUAUUUCUCAGAUGGUUGGCAACUUAGCAUCAAUCACUUGCAAAGCAAGCUCUGAAAAGUGGGUCGAUUCUUAAUUUGCUAUUGAGUCCUGCAAUAUAGUUUGUUAUCAUUCAAAUUAACCUUGUUUACAUCAAUUGAAUUGCAUUUUCAGGUGAAUACGGCAUAAAAGAUAUAUGAUCAACUACACCAUAUGGGCUGUCUCAUCUUCGAGAGAAAGGAAUUGGCUUCCAAGUAUGAGCAAGUUAAGGCUUCGAUUGAUUCAUCCGAGUUUAUGUGUAAGCAUGAUUCAACCAUGACUUUGUCUGCACUAAUUGAAGCAAGGAAACGGGAAGAAAGCUUGAAGAAGGCAGUAGGAGUCACAGAGGCAUGCAUAGUAAGUGUAAGCUUGUUGAAUACAGUUUUUGAUUUCGUAUAAAUUGGCCUUUUCCUUCCUAAAUGUUUGUGUAUUUACUCUAGCUUGAGUAUUUUAUGGAUUCUGGAGCUUGAGAAGGCCUUGCUUGAGAUGCGUA